CUUGAUGGACCCGAGCCACAGCGGGUCGCCGUCGCCGCGCUCCUGCCCGUAGGUGGCCAUCAGGGCCUGGGCCUC
rnacentral:antisense_RNA from 1 species